rnacentral:rRNA from 1 species
CCUACGGGAGGCAGCAGUGGGGAAUUUUGGACAAUGGGCGCAAGCCUGAUCCAGCAAUGCCGCGUGAGUGAAGAAGGCCUUCGGGUUGUAAAGCUCUUUUGUCAGGGAAGAAACGGAUGAGGCUAAUAUCCUUGUCUAAUGACGGUACCUGAAGAAUAAGCACCGGCUAACUACGUGCCAGCAGCCGCGGUAAUACGUAGGGUGCAAGCGUUAAUCGGAAUUACUGGGCGUAAAGCGUGCGCAGGCGGUUUUGUAAGUUUGUCGUGAAAUCCCCGGGCUCAACCUGGGAAUUGCGAUGAAGACUGCAAGGCUAGAAUCUGGCAGAGGGGGGUAGAAUUCCACGUGUAGCAGUGAAAUGCGUAGAGAUGUGGAGGAACACCGAUGGCGAAGGCAGCCCCCUGGGUCAAGAUUGACGCUCAUGCACGAAAGCGUGGGGAGCAAACAGGAUUAGAUACCCUGGUAGUCCACGCCCUAAACGAUGUCUACUAGUUGUCGGGUUUUAAUUAACUUGGUAACGCAGCUAACGCGUGAAGUAGACCGCCCGGUGGACGGUCGGCAGAGUAAACUACAAGAAUUGAACGUGNGNGNGNGCGAGCGACGACGACGGAGGAGGAGG